UAUGCUUAAAGAGGGGCUUGCGCCACAUUAGUUAGUUGGUAGAGUAAAAGCCUACCAAGACGAUGAUGUGUAGCUGGACUGAGAGGUUGAACAGCCACAUUGGGACUGAGACACGGCCCAAACUCCUACGGGAGGCAGCAGUAGGGAAUUUUCGGCAAUGGAGGAAACUCUGACCGAGCAACGCCGCGUGAACGAUGAAGUAUUUCGGUAUGUAAAGUUCUUUUAUUGAAAAAGAAAAAGUAGUGGAAAAACUAUAUUGACGUUAUUCAAUGAAUAAGCCCCGGCUAACUAUGUGCCAGCAGCCGCGGUAAGACAUAGGGGGCGAGCGUUAUCCGGAAUUAUUGGGCGUAAAGGGUGCGUAGGCUGUUAGAUAAGUCUAUAAUUUAAUUUCAGUGCUUAACGCUGUCUUGUUAUAGAAACUGUCUUGACUAGAGUGAGAUAGAGGCAAGCGGAAUUCCAUGUGUAGCGGUAAAAUGUGUAAAUAUAUGGAGGAACACCAGAAGCGUAGGCGGCUUGCUGGGUCUUUACUGACGCUGAGGCACGAAAGCGUGGGUAGCAAACAGGAUUAGAUACCCUGGUAGUCCACGCCGUAAACGAUGAGUACUAAGUGUCGGGGUAAAACUCGGUACUGAAGUUAACACAUUAAGUACUCCGCCUGAGUAGUACGUACGCAAGUAUGAAACUUAAAGGAAUUGACGGGACUCCGCACAAGCGGUGGAUCAUGUUGUUUAAUUCGAAGAUACACGAAAAAUCUUACCAGGUCUUGACAUACUCUGCAAAGCUAUAGAAAUAUAGUGGAGGUUAUCAGGGAUACAGGUGGUGCAUGGUUGUCGUCAGUUCGUGUCGUGAGAUGUUAGGUUAAGUCCUAAAACGAACGCAACCCUUGUCGUUAAUUGCCAGCACAUAAUGGUGGGGACUUUAACGAGACUGCCAAUUAAACAUUGGAGGAAGGUGAGGAUUACGUCAAAUCAUCAUGCCCCUUAUGAUCUGGGCUACAAACGUGAUACAAUGGCUGUGACAAAGAGUAGCUGAAACGCGAGUUUUUAGCCAAUCUCAAAAAAGCAGUCUCAGUUCGGAUUGAAGUCUGUAACUCGACUUCAUGAAGUUGGAAUCGCUAGUA
rnacentral:rRNA from 1 species